UACGUAGGGCGCAAGCGUUGUCCGGAAUUAUUGGGCGUAAAGGGCUCGUAGGCGGCUUGUCACGUCGGAUGUGAAAGCCCGGGGCUUAACUCCGGGUCUGCAUUCGAUACGGGCUAGCUAGAGUGUGGUAGGGGAGAUCGGAAUUCCUGGUGUAGCGGUGAAAUGCGCAGAUAUCAGGAGGAACACCGAUGGCGAAGGCAGAUCUCUGGGCCGUAACUGACGCUGAGGAGCGAAAGCAUGGGGAGCGAACAGG
rnacentral:rRNA from 1 species